ensembl:lncRNA
AUAUCAAGGGAUUAGCCACUAAUUUCUUCCCUGAACCCUGUCUCUGAUGUUAGCUGUGAGCCUCUAUUCACCCCGUGUGCAGGGGAAAGGAGGACAGUUAGCCUAGAGGCAAAAAUCUGGGGAGGACGUCUGAGUGUGUGGCUUCCCGCUCACCCCCCAGUCGGCCCCCUGGAGGGCCUCCCGCCCUGGGCUCGGAGAGGGGAGCCAGAGAGGAGAGCUGGCGGACUCUCCCCCUGCCCCCUGCCUUGCUCUUUGUCUCCACAAGUCCUGUGAGAGUGUAGGCUAGGAGCUACUCUCCCCGUUGGACAGAUGCUCUUCUGAGGGCCACCCAGGGCCAUGCCGGCAGAAGCAGCGUGAAGAGCCACAGCAAGUGCCUAGGCCAGUGUUCUUUCCACCGCUCUGAGGUUCCGUGACCUCUUCUGAGAUCCCCAGCUGAAGGCAGACCCUGGUGACAAGAGGGAACAUGGGCACAGACAGCCCCAGAAGGUCGCAGUGCCUGUUGGGGCAGCCCUUCAGGGACUGGUGUUGGCGAUCUCCAUGCCAUCCUGGCCAGGUGGCUCGGCACGUGGCCAGGAUCCCUGGCGCAGCUCGAGGGAGCAUCUUCCUGCCGAACAUAGCGCAGGCCAAGCUCUGCACCAGCUGCUUGGGGGACUUAGCUGGACAGCUUCAGGCAAGACUGGUCAGGCCCCCUUUACUGUCACAGUGCUGCCUGCAAGGGUGGACUUAGGAAAGAGCUUUGACACACCCGCUCUGUCCCAGGCUCCACAUCUGGCAGACUUACUGCAGAGCCCCCGUGGGUCUAGCCUCAACCUGAGCCAGGCUGACCUGGCCUUGAGUCCCGCUCUGUCCUUCCUAGCCGAGUCACCUUGGACCCGUCUGUCAGCCCCCAAGCCUCAGUCUCCUCAGCUGUGAAGUGGACACAGAGGCAGCCGCCCCCCUGAGGUCUUGUGAGGGUCGAGCUCAUGAAUGUGACGUGCCUGGCGCUAAUGUUCCUAGCAAUGUAAUCGUGUUGUGUUUUUUUUUUUUUUUUUUUUGCAGUACGUGGGCCUCUCCCUGUUGUGGCCUCUCCCGUUGCGGAGCACAGGCUCCGGACGCGCAGGCUCAGCGGCCAUGGCUCACGGGCCCAGCCGCUCCGCGGCAUGUGGGAUCUUCCCGGACCGGGGCAUGAACCCACGUCCCCUGCAUCGGCAGGCGGACUCUCAACCGCUGCGCCACCAGGGAAGCCCUGUAAUGGUUUUAAGUAGAACAUUCCACCUGCCCUGCUAGCCCCAACCCUAACCCCUCUGCUGAGUGGGCAGUGCCGCUGUGACUGACAGAUGGCCCUGUGACCCUACCCUUCCCCUUGCCCGGCUCCCUGGGUGCCUGCACCUCUGCUGUGGGCAGCGAGGGGAGGCCCAGUGGCUGUGGGAGGAAGAGCAAUAUGGAAAUUGUGCACAAGGAGGCUGAUCAUAUUAAGAUCCAGCUGCACUUAAGCGUCUCCUGGGAAGCUCUUUACAGCGCACUGAAGAGAGCUCCCAGAUGUCAAAGCGGCCUUGCAUCGAGGCCCGGUAGCUCUUAGCGGCCUCGCCACAUGCUCCCCAGGUAAUUGGUCUCCUAAUGCACCAGCCCUGGCCGGGUUCCACCGCCUCUUCCCCCUCGGGUCAGUUCAUGCUGCUCCCCGGCCUGGCAAGCGGGUCACAGACAGCGUGACACACCCCCGCCAUUGUUUUCUUGUCCUUGCAGGCCAUUUCUAGAUGCUGUACAGGAUGCCUUGGCCUGGAAGAGUAAACAGGAUUGCCAGGCAGUGUGGAAUCAGGAAUUCUGUUCAAGACCAGGGCUUUUAUGUCCAGAAAUUGUGUGUUAGAUGCAGUGGGGAACAUAUAAAAGGGAGACACAAUCCCUCCUAUUACAGGUAGAAGUAAACCAGCAUGGUUUUCAUUUUCUUCUUCAACAUUAGUUUUUAUUCCUGACUACAAAAGGGAUACGUGUUCUUGGUAAGAAAUUUAAAAGAAAGAUAAAAGGAAAAUCAUUUAUAGCUUCACACCGGAGAUGACAGCUCUUCACAUUUUGCAGUGGAUUUCUUCUCUACACGUUUGUAUACUUC